AUCAAAUAAAAAUAUAUUUUAUAUUAGAGAUUCUUCAAAGUAGCCACUCUUUGCCUUGAUUACAGCUUUGCACACCCUUGGCAUUUUCUCAACCAGCUACAUGAGGUGGUCACCUGGAAUGCAUUUAUUUUAACAGGUGUGCCUUGUUAAAAGUUAAUUUGUGGAAUUUAUUUCCUUCUUAAUGUGUUUGAGCCAAUCAGUUGUCUUGUGACAAGGUAGGGAUGGUAUACAGAAGAUAGCCCUAUUUGGUAAAAGACCAAGUCCAUAUUAUGGCAAGAACAGCUCAAAUAAGCAAAGAGAAAUGACAGUUCAUCAUUACUUUAACACAUGAAGGUCAGUCAAUACGGAAAAAUGUAAGAUCUUUGAACGUUUCUUCAAGUGCAGUCGCAAAAACCAUCAAGCGCUAUAAUGAAACUGGCUCUUAUGAGGACCGCCACAGGAAAGGAAGACCCAGAGUUACCUCUGCUGCAGAGGAAAAGUUCAUUAGAGUUAACUGCACCGCAGAAAUUGCAGCCCAAAUUAAUGCGUCACAGAGUUCAAGUAACAGACAUAUCUCAACAUCAACUGCUCAGAGAAGACUGAAUCAAGCAUUCAUGGUUGAAUUGCUGCAUAGAAACCACUACUAAAGGACACCAAUAAUAAGAAGAGACUUGCUUGGGCUAAGAAACACGAGCAAUGGACAUUAAACCGGUGGAAAUCUGUCUGAUGAGUCCAAAUUUGAGAUUUUUGGUUCCAACCUCUGUGUUUUUGUGAGACGCAGAGUGGCUGAACGGCUGAUCUCCACAUGUGUGGCUCCCACCGUGAAGCACUGAGGAGGUGGUAUGGUGUGGGGGUGCUUUGCUGGUGACACUGUCUGUGAUUUAUUUCAAAUUCAAGGCACACUUAACCACCAUCUGUUUUGCUCUUAGUGGGACUAUCUUUUUUUCCAACAGGACAAUGACCCAACACACCUCCAGGCUGUGUAAGAGCUAUUUUUAUUUAUUUAAAAAUAUAUAUUUCACUCGGCAAGUCAGUUAAUGACGGCCUACCCCAGUCAAACAUGGACAUGCGCCACCCUUUGGGACUCCCAAUCACAGCCAGAUGUGAUUGUUAAGGGAAUUUUCAAUCCCAAUAAUGCAUUUAAUCUUUAACCAAUUCAACGAGGUUUGUAAGACCCUGGAUUCACUAAUAAUUGGGCAAAGUCUCAGAUUUUAUAAAAAAGGUUCACAGAUCUUUAUUCAUGAGAGCUCUAAAGUCAAAAAUGAGGACUCAGUCCUUUUAUAAUACACAC
rnacentral:lncRNA from 1 species